UACGUAGGGCGCAAGCGUUGUCCGGAAUUAUUGGGCGUAAAGAGCUCGUAGGUGGCUUGUCGCGUCUGCCGUGAAAACCCGAGGCUUAACCUCGGGCGUGCAGGCGAUACGGGCAGACUAGAGUGUGGUAGGGGAGACUGGAAUUCCUGGUGUAGCGGUGAAAUGCGCAGAUAUCAGGAGGAACACCGGUGGCGAAGGCGGGUCUCUGGGCCUUACCUGACGCUGAGGAGCGAAAGCAUGGGUAGCCAACAGGAUUAGAUACCCGUGUA
rnacentral:rRNA from 1 species